rnacentral:tRNA from 1 species
UCGGGUAAUAGCGCAGUUGGUAGCGCGCCUGGUUCGGGACUAGGAGGUCCCCGGUUCGAAUCCGGGUUGCCCGAG